UAGGGAAUCUUCGGCAAUGGACGAAAGUCUGACCGAGCAACGCCGCGUGAGUGAAGAAGGUUUUCGGAUCGUAAAGCUCUGUUGUUAGAGAAGAACAAGGACGUUAGUAACUGAACGUCCCCUGACGGUAUCUAACCAGAAAGCCACGGCUAACUACGUGCCAGCAGCCGCGGUAAUACGUAGGUGGCAAGCGUUGUCCGGAUUUAUUGGGCGUAAAGCGAGCGCAGGCGGUUUCUUAAGUCUGAUGUGAGAGCCCCCGGCUCAACCGGGGAGGGUCAUUGGAAACUGGGAGACUUGAGUGCAGAAGAGGAGAGUGGAAUUCCAUGUGUAGCGGUGAAAUGCGUAGAUAUAUGGAGGAAAACCAGUGGCAAAGGCGGCUCUCUGGUCUGUAACUGACGCUGAGGCUCGAAAGCGUGGGGAGCAAACAGG
rnacentral:rRNA from 1 species